CCUACGGGAGGCAGCAGUGGGGAAUAUUGCGCAAUGGGCGAAAGCCUGACGCAGCGACGCCGCGUGAGGGAUGCAGGUCUUCGGAUCGUAAACCUCUGUCAGCAGGGAAGAACGGUCACUGUGCUAAUCAGCAGUGAAUUGACGGUACCUGCAAAGGAAGCACCGGCUAACUCCGUGCCAGCAGCCGCGGUAAUACGGAGGGUGCGAGCGUUAAUCGGAAUUACUGGGCGUAAAGCGCUCGUAGGCGGUAUGUCAAGGCAAGGGUGAAAUCCCCGCGCUCAACGUGGGAACUGCCUUUGAAACUGGCAAACUGGGGUGUGUGAGAGGAUAGUGGAAUUCCAGGUGUAGGAGUGAAAUCCGUAGAUAUCUGGAGGAACAUCAGUGGCGAAGGCGACUAUCUGGCACAUAACUGACGCUGAGGAGCGAAAGCGUGGGUAGCAAACAGGAUUAGAUACCCCUGUAGUC
rnacentral:rRNA from 1 species